rnacentral:misc_RNA from 1 species
AGCAGCCGCGGUAAUUCCAGCUCCAAUAGCGUAUAUUAAAGUUGUUGCAGUUAAAAAGCUCGUAGUUGAAUUUCGGGAUCAAAGAAUCGGUCAUGCCUUGGUAUGUACUGGUUUUAUUGGUUCUCACCUUCUAAGGAACCAUGAUGUCAUUCAUUUGAUGUUAUGGGGAAUUAGGACUGUUACCUUGAAAAAAUUAGAGUGUUUAAAGCAAGCUUACGCUUGAAUACAUUAGCAUGGAAUAAUGAAAUAGGACAUCAGAUUCUAUUUUGUUGGUUUCUAGGAUCGAUGUAAUGAUUAAUAGGGAUAGUUGGGGGCAUUAGUAUUCAAUUGUCAGAGGUGAAAUUCUUGGAUUUAUUGAAGACUAACUACUGCGAAAGCAUUUGCCAAGGAUGUUUUCAUUAAUCAAGAACGAAAGUUAGGGGAUCGAAGACGAUCAGAUACCGUCGUAGUCUUAACCAUAAACUAUGCCGACUAGGGAUCGGAUGAUGUUAAUUUUUUAAUGACUCAUUCGGCACCUUAC